UACGGGGGGAGCAAGCGUUGUUCGGAUUUACUGGGCGUAAAGGGCGCGUAGGCGGCGCAACAAGUCACUUGUGAAAUCUCCGGGCUUAACCCGGAGCGGCCAAGUGAUACUGUCGUGCUAGAGUGCGGAAGGGGCUACUGGAAUUCUCGGUGUAGCGGUGAAAUGCGUAGAUAUCGAGAGGAACACUUGCGGCGAAGGCGGGUAGCUGGGCCGACACUGACGCUGAGGCGCGAAAGCCAGGGGAGCGAACGGG
rnacentral:rRNA from 1 species